rnacentral:rRNA from 1 species
CCUACGGGGGGCUGCAGUGGGGGAUAUUGCACAAUGGGGGAAACCCUGAUGCAGCGACGCAGCGUGUGGGAAGACGGUCCUCUGGAUUGUAAACCACUGUCCCCAGGGACGAAGAUGACGGUACCUGGGGUGGAAGCUCCGGCUAACUACUUGACAGCAGCCGCGGUAAUACGCAGGGCGCGGGCGUUGUCCGGAAUUACUGGGUGUAAAGGGAGCGUAGGCGGUGAUGUAAGUUGGGUGUCAAAACUACCGGCUCAACUGGUAGUCGCACUCAAAACUGCAGCUCUUGAGUGAAGUAGAGGCAGGCGGAAUUCCUAGUGUAGCGGUGAAAUGCGUAGAUAUUAGGAGGAACACCAGUGGCGAAGGCGGCCUGCUGGGCUUUUACUGACGCUGAGGCUCGAAAGUGUGGGUAGCAAACAGGAUUAGAUACCCGGGUAGUC